UACAGAGGGGGCAAGCGUUAUUCGGAAUUAUUGGGCGUAAAGGGCGCGUAGGCGGCCAUUCAAGUGACGGGUGAAAGCCCUCGGCUUAACCGAGGAACUGCCUGUCAGACUGGAUGGCUUGAGACCGGGAGAGGUGAGUGGAAUUCCCAGUGUAGCGGUGAAAUGCGUAGAUAUUAGGAAGAACACCGGUGGCGAAGGCGGCCCACUGGAUCGGUACUGACGCCGAGGUGCGAAAGCGUGGGGAGCAAACAGG
rnacentral:rRNA from 1 species